AUUGAACGCUGGCGGCAUGCCUUACACAUGCAAGUCGAACGGUAACAGGUCUUCGGAUGCUGACGAGUGGCGAACGGGUGAGUAAUACAUCGGAACGUGCCUAGUAGUGGGGGAUAACUACUCGAAAGAGUGGCUAAUACCGCAUGAGAUCUACGGAUGAAAGCAGGGGAUCGCAAGACCUUGUGCUACUAGAGCGGCCGAUGGCAGAUUAGGUAGUGGGUGGGAUAAAAGCUUACCAAGCCGACGAUCUGUAGCUGGUCUGAGAGGACGAUCAGCCACACUGGGACUGAGACACGGCCCAGACUCCUACGGGAGGCGGCAGUGGGGAAUUUUGGACAAUGGGCGCAAGCCUGAUCCAGCAAUGCCGCGUGCAGGAUGAAGGCCUUCGGGUUGUAAACUGCUUUUGUACGGAACGAAAAGCCCCGGGUUAAUACCCUAGGGUCAUGACGGUACCGUAAGAAUAAGCACCGGCUAACUACGUGCCAGCAGCCGCCGUAA
rnacentral:rRNA from 1 species